rnacentral:lncRNA from 1 species
CCAAGCCCUAUGAUUACCGUACCCCCCAGUGGGCGGGGCUUAGGGUUACCAUAGCAACAAAGGGGAGCAGCCAAUAGGAAGCCUUGCCUGCUUGCUCCGCUGUCAUCGCUGUGGGUCAAUGGGGAGAAGAUGGGGGGGAGCGAGCCCAUGGCGGGAACACGGACAGCCAAUGGGGAGCGGAGAAACACAAUGGAGGGAAACCGGCAGCCAAUGGGCGCCUGCCAAACAGGGAUGACGUCAUCAACCCGUAGAGGGACACGGAGCUCACCCGGAUGGAGGGGUCGCGCGUAUAUGACGUCAUCACCCCGCGCCCGACCAGUUGAUGACGUCACAGCGGCACUUCCGUUUUAUUCCAAGCGAUUUGGCCCCAAAGUCGCCCCGCCCCCACGUGGCAACACGUGACGUCACCGACCGCCCCGCCCACAUAGCAACACGUGACGUCACUGCCCCACACAUCAGCCCCACUUAUGGGGCAGGGCUCCACUUAUGGGGCAGAACCCACUUAUAGGGCAGAGCCCCACUUAUGGGGCAGGGUUCCACUUAUGGGGCAGGGUUCAACUUAUGGGGCAGAACCCCACUUGGGGGACAAGGCUCCACUUGUGGGUCACAGUCCUACUACUUAUGGGGCAGGGCUUCACUUAUGGGUCACAGCCCCACUUGGGGGUCACAGUCCUACUUAUGGGUCGCAGGUCCAUUUAUGGGGCAGGGCUCCACUUAUGGGUCACAAAUCCACUUGUGGGUCACAGUCCACUUGUGGGUCACAGUCCUACUUAUGGGGCAAGGAUCCACUUGUGGGGCAGGGCUCCACUUAUGGGUCGCAGGUCCACUUGUGGGUCAGAACCCACUUAUGGGGCAGUGCCCCACUUAUGGGGCAGAGCUUCACAUACUUGGGGUCACAGCCACACUUAUGGGUCAGUCCAGGGGGGGGGGAGGUUACGACACUGUGGGGCAGAGCCAUGGAGUGUCGCUAUGGGGCAGCGCCCCACUUAUGGGGUAGAGCUUCACGUACUUAUGGGACACAGCCACACUUGGGG